UGAAGAGGUAACUCUUGCUCCCAUGGUUGCUUCUUCAGGUCUACUGGUAUCACUAAUCUUGGUGUUUGAGGAGCCAUUUUUUUUGUGAUUUUAGUUUACUUAGCAUAGUAGUAGUAUUGUGUUUCUGACAAGUCAAGCUUAAACUUUCCAUUUAAAUUCCUUAGAUGGUUGAAAAUUCUUUUUCAGAGACAAAAUUUUAGUGACCUUUGUUUUUUUCUUUUCUGGUGGUCCUUAUUUUCUCAAAUUUAUUCCUGUAUUGCACAAUUACAAAAAAGAAAAGAAAAAAAACAGACGUUUAGGGUUCUGAUUGCUUCUUUGAAAGAUGAUGAAUAUCUUUUCAGAACAACUUUCUUGCUGUUUGUCUAUGUAAAUCAUGUAUCUUUUGAUUGUAUUAUCGAAAACAUUAUAAUUAGACAGAUAUUUAUAUUUGCUCUAAUAAAAGCAAGUAACUUAUUGUGUUCAUUUUUUCUUUUUUCUUUUAAGGUAAGGAGGAUGACCCUGACCAGACCUCAACCCUCGUGGAUCUUUUGGCCCAAUAUUUGAGGUCCGUGUAGUUAGGAGUAAGGGGAAGGUAAGGAAAACCUAUCGCUAAGAGGCUAAGCACAAAGUGGUAGGAAUCAAAAACCCUAUACAUCUAGAAUCUUAGUUAAGAUUCUUACCAAGUGAGUCAAUUCUUGCUUAGUACUCUGUAACUUGUUGUAUCAAUAUGUAUGCAAUAUAUAUGCAAUAUGCUUGUGAGUGCUCUAUGUGUCAAGGGCCCAACCUACCAAUUUGGACCGCAUUGACCGGUGCGGUGAAUGGUAGGGUUACAGAAGUACUUUCACACUAUGAAGUUGUGUAUACUUUCACCUUCCAAAAAGUUGAGCGGUUUCCGUAGAAAAUGCUAAAAGAUGUCGAAAUUCCCAAAAUGCAUCACUUUUCAAUAUAAUUCUCAAUCUACCUUUCACGUCAUCCAGUGUUUUAGAUUUUUUUUUCUCUUUUGGUUCACUUAUAAACCGCCAAUUAGUGGUUUCUAUUAACGGUGUUAACCGCCAUUUGAGUUGACGAUUUUGUGUGACUUUGUUAAAUAAAAAACAGACCUAAUUCAUUGUUGUCAUGGAUAGUAGAUUGAGAAUUAUAUUUAAAAAAAAGGGUUGAAUUUUGGGAAUUUUGACAUCUUUAAUCAUUUUCUACGGGAAAUCGCUCCAAAAAGUUACUUCAAAAGUAACCUAAUUUGGAGAGUCCCACCAUAAUUUGUUCAUCAGUGAAUACAAAGUGGAAAAUUAAGGAUAGGCAACAGAAAUGUAAGCAAGCUUGAUCCUAAGGCCCCAUUUGGUAGGGCGUAAAAUGUUUUCAUGGAAUAAGAUUUUUCCCUUUUCAAUCGUUUUACGCUGUUUGGUCGGGUAAGGGAUGUAAAACAAUUUUCCAUGACUCCCUCAAAGGUGGAAAACCUUUUUCCAUUUGAAAGGGAGGGAAACCACUUUUCCUUCUUUCCUCCUUACCUCCCUCUCCUUUCUUCCCCUCAAUCUUCACCAUCUUCUCCCAUUUCCCUUUAAGUUACCAAACAAAGGAAAACUAGUUUGGAAUUGUGUUUUCCCUUGAAAAAUGUUUUCCAUAGAAAAUCAUUUUACGAUGAAAACGUUUUACGCCCUACCAAACGGAGCAUAAGUGAAAACCUCCCAAACCUUCACUUCUGCUGAGUUUAUCAGCGUGCCACCGGUACCGAAGGACGGGGAAUUCUCUGCUACCGUACGUAGCUUCAUCUCAAGGUCGAUCUACGUACGUUCUUAUAUAUGGUAUCGUCGUUAGAUAAUUGUUACGUAGUACUCCAUAUUCCGUAGAUAUAAAGAGUACGUUGAUACAACUAGUAAGUUGAUAUUUGAGUUACGAUUAAGAAUAUAUGGUUUGGUAUCUAAAUAUUUGGCAUUGGUGGUUUGUAUUGCUUCCCUUUGAGUUUGAUUGAAUUGAAACUCAUUUGUCUCUCAAUCAAUUCGCAUUUGUCUCUUACAAUUAGGGAAUAAUAAUGAAGUGGGAAAUCACGUCAUUUAUUCAUUAAGGAAUCAAUAGUCCUUUUCUGAUUGGAACUUUCGCUCUUUCAAAGGACAACAUUCAUUUCUUUUGUGGAAUAUUUUUGUUGAUAUCAUCUCAAUUACGUUGUGUUGCCUUUUGAGUAAAAUGACUCAUUUUUGUACGGAGAAUAUUAUUUUCGGUUUUUUCAUGAAAUGCCCCUGAGGUUUGCAAUAAUGCACCAAAUACCCCUGCGCGUUUCAAAAUUCAUAGAAUACCCCUAUAAUUCCGUAUUGUUCAUUAAAUACCCCUGGAUUUAACGGACGUUAGCUUGCCGUUAGUUGUGUUUUACCAAUUUGCCCUUAAUUCUUAUUUGGUGCGACUUAGGUAACAAUUGUGACAGAAAUUCCAAAAAAAAAAAAUCCCAACUUCUCUUUCUCUCUCCUCUGCCCCUGUUCUUCAACCUCGUCACCGGCAAUAGAGCCACCGGAAUGUCUAGUUUGCUUGCAAUCCUACGACGGCGACUCUGCAAUUCACGCGUACUCGACUCCGCCCUUCUACCCUUCCGAACACCCUGUGUUGCCCGUCUUGCACUCAGCUCGUCAAGUACCCUCAUGCGCAUGGCCCCACUGCUCUCCCCAAGAACAUCGACCUUCUCCGUUUCUCUCUCCUCCUUCAACAACAAGACCCCAACUCAAAACCCCUAAAUGAAAAUGCCAACAUCCCGCUACUCAAUGUCAAUUCCUCUCUCAUACAUCGUUUUUCGCCGCGAAUAUGGUCGGAGGAGCUCUAUGCUUCUGGGAAGGACUGGAUUCUGCCCGAUGGUGCGGUUUCGACGGAGGAUGGAUUGGUUACUACUACUAGUAGGAUUAGAAUUGGUUCAACUUUUAUGGAUUUGAGUUUGCCGUCCGCAAUUAUGCGGUGUCGUUUAGUCCAAAAUCAGGUGGUGGGUCUUGUUAAAAUCGGACAGUUUGAGUUUGAAUGAUAAAUUGUUGGAGUACAGCUAUAUGGGCAAAAUUAUGAGUAUUGUUAGUUGGAUGAAUGUUGAUAAAAGACACGAAAUAAGUUGGGCUUUGUUUGUGGUUGUUUGGGUUUGUCUUGCGUUUUCUUUGAUGAGUUUGGGCAUGUUUGUGUUGACAUAUGUGAGGCCUUGGUGAUAGGAAGGAAGUUACGUGAGUGUGUUGUGGAGGAAGGCAAAGGUGGGCGUGAAAUCAAUGGCUCUGAGGCUCAAUUACUAAUUCAAAAGAUGUUGAACAUGGGUGCAUUUGUGAGCCCUGAAGUGUGGAUGGAGUUGCUUGGUAGGGAAAAAAUUGAGGUAGAGAAGAACGCUGUAAAUGCUAGUCUGGUUAUUAGCCUGUGCAUGUUUUGAUAAUUCUCUUAUUGGGAAUAAGUUUCUUGUAGAGAUGUACAAUUACUUGACAACAGUUUUUCAAGGAAAGAAUGAGGAGGUUUCUGCAGUUACUGUCUACCUAAUUGUAUGCUGCUGUAAUUGCAUCGCGAGGGAGGCAUGGAUCAAAUUGAAUGAACGACCUUCAAUCUAAUUGAAAAGAUACAUAAUGCAGACUAACAUUUGUAACCAACUGAAAUCAUUAUUGAGUAGUUGAAUCACUGUUGAACCGAGGACCAUGAAUUUGCAUCAAUCCAAUCAAACGCAAUAGGACUCAGGAACACAUCUGGUAUGCCGAAAGAACUGACCAAUGCAAGGGUGUGAGGACGCACUGCAGAGCUUAAUCACCUCUUGUCUUACUACAACAGAAUUCUCAACAGACAAAUAGCCAUAACGAAGGAAUGGAGCAUCUUCUUCCAAGAUUGGGUAUUUGGUGCAAAAAACUUUAUAAAUAAGUGUAUACUAUGGAAAAACUUUAUAUGUAGGUGUAUUGAAUGAAUUAUAAACAUGACUUAACGGAGGACUAACGGAAAAUCAUAAUAGGGGUAUUUGGUGAACAGUACGGAAAAAAUAGGGGUAUUAUAUGAAUUUUGAAACGCGCAGGGGUAUUUGGUGCAUUAUUGCAAACCUCAGGGGCAUUUCAUGAAAAACCCGUAUUAUUUUAAUCUACACUUAAAACGUAAAAGCUUAUUUUGACUUAUUUUAUCAAAAAUAUCUCCUCUGACUCAUUUUACUUGCUUCAUUUGACCGAUUUUCGUAAAAGCUUUUUGGUCAAAAUGGGACAAUUAAAAUGGUUUUCGUAAGUUCAUACUCGAUCCAGAUAAGGCUUCAUUCUAUUCGACUUAUUUUGGGCUUAAUUUAUUUUGUAUUAGCAAAAUUUAUAUGAACUUGUUUUAUAUGAAAUAAUUUAUUUAUGUGUGCAAAUGUCGGGGAAUCUUACCUAUUUUUGAACUUAUUUUUAAUUCAACUGAACUUAUUUUAACUUAUCUUAAUUUAUUUUGUCUGAAAUAAGUCAAACUAAGUUGAAUAGAAUAGAGGCUAAACUCAUGUUCAAUUCAAAUAAGUUUAACCUACAAACAAGUUCUUUUCAAUAAAUAUAGUUUCAGAUAAGUUAAUUUCAGUUGCACCAAAGUAUUAUACUCCACAUUAAAACUAGUCCUAUCAAACUGUGAAGAUAAUGAUAUAAUUCAAACAUGUUGGGUUUAGAUUAUGUUAAACCAAACUCUUCUACAAGUAGGUUUCCUAACUCAUAUUUAUUUCACAAAUGAGCCAAGUAGCAAGGUUUUGUUUUGUUCCAUUCAUUUUGUCUUUGUUUCAAGUAAAGAUUAGUGUAAAUUUGUUGGUAAUAAACUUCUUUUUUUUGACAUAGGAUUAAACGUACACUUUAGAACACAAGCGGUUGGGCCAUAGAACUUCUUCCGCAAUAAAUUUAUUUCGAAUAAUUAAUUUCAGACAAACUAAAUUUUAUUUUUUUUAAUAAUUUGAUAUGGAUUGAUUUGAGAAAAGUUCGGAUAAAUUUAGACAAAGUAAGCAAAUAUCAUUCUAACUACUCCAUGGAAAUGAAAUUGGCAAGCCAAGGUGUUUGGAAAUGUGUAAUUAACUUGGGUCCAUGCACUUAAAAUGUUAGUAUUGUUUGUCAAUGGCCAUUAAUUAAUCAUCCCCAAAAGUUAGGUUAGACAGCCAUUAGAUAGGGAUGUUGUCAUUAGUGGAUCUUAAAUCUUAAUCAAACAGGAAUACUUUAUUAUUAGAUUUCAGUACAGGUGACGAUUAUAGGAAAGGACCUCUCUUUUUAACAUUUUUCUUUUUAAUAAACAUAUAAGAAAAAAGGAAGGAAUUUUCAAUGAAAUCAAUCACACAUUACACUUGUGAAACCACUAAAUAUAUGUGCUAUCAAAGGGUUAGAAUAGUCAUUUUCAAAUUCUGAACAUAUUUUUUAGAAAACAACAUAUGUUUUAGAAAAUAUUGUCUUUAUUUUAAUUUAGAGCUUCAUUUUUCUUUUUUUUGCAAAUGUUAAAUUUAAACUUGUCAGGAAAACUUGUACAUAAUUUAUUUACAUUUCAACGAAAUUAACUGAACUUAUCUUAACUAUAUUAUUAGGUUCCUUAAAAAAAAAAAACUAUUUUUAGGUUAUUUUAUUCUUUGGUUUAUUUUAAGAAUAAAAUUGCCAACUAUGUGGAAACCUUUUUGUUAAAAAAAUAAGGUAUAAUGGUAGUGUUUCCUUAAAAUUGGAUAUUAUUUGAAGAAGGGGAGAACAUAAGGUCAGGAUCAAAUUUAUGGGCCUUUCGGGCCUAAUUUUAGGGAAUGUUUGGCAGAAGUUUUGGGCCAGAGUGGGUGUUUUUCAUUUGCAAUCUUUUUUAAAUUUUGAAGUGCUCUAGUACUAAUCUCAUAUUCUCAUGUCUCAUUGUUGUGUUAUAAACGUGAGAAGUUAUUUUGGCACAUCUAAUAUAAGAGCUAGUAAUUUCCGACCCAAUUCAAUAACCCGAUUAGUAUUCGAUCUGAAAUUUACUGAGAGAAAUUUGAACCCGAUAUGAACCGAAUGACCUGAAUUCGACCUGAAUUAACCAAUUUAUCACAUUUUAUACUCCUAAUAAUAUUAAAAUUUUACAUUAUUUCUGAUAUUUUUUACUGGACUCGAAAUCGAUCCUAAACCAACAGCUUUAUUUGAAAAUGACAAAAGGAUGGUCCCAGGAGCUUGUUUGUUAUGUGAAGAUGGAGUGCGUCCCAUCAACAGAAUUUUUGCUCUUCAUUGAUUGGCACGCCCAUUUUUAUGUGAAAACGAAAUAACUCUUUGGUAACAAUUAAACUCGAUGGGAAAAAAAAAAAAAGUUAAACAACAAAAUUAUACGGCUACCGUCAGCGUCUUUUUAUUCUUUACGUAUUUUAUUUUAGGUGUGUCAUUUUAAUCUCUACAUUUGUAAUAUUUAUGUUUAUAUUAUCACAUAUGGCCAUAAUAUUUUGUCAAAAAAUAUUAUAAAUGAUUGUUUUAACCAAUUAAACUCAUAGAAGCAUUAAUCUCACGUACUUUUUCAUUUAAGGCAUUAAAUUUUUCUUCCACACUUUCUCAAUGUCAGAUUUUGAAUAAAAGUGAAAAUAUUAUAAAUAAACGUAAUUUACAUUGUUUAAAAAAAUAGAAGAAUUUCAAUCCACAUUAAUUAAUCGUUAAUCGUGUGCACAAACGUAAACAACAAAGAGGAACAGAUGGAGUAAUGUCUAACAUUAGCUUGUGCUCGUGUUUCACGUACUCUAUAAAUUAGAAAGCAAUAAAAGAGUGCAUCAUAUUAUAUAAAAGUAAUUACUCCGUAUUGGAUGAUUAAAUGAGUGUGUUCAAGAUUUAUUAAUUAUGUUGUAACGUUAGGGAGAGGAAUACUUAAGUCAAAUCUAUUCUAAUAUUUAAUAGCAGGGAAGUUGAAGUGCCACGUGGCCCCUUCCUGGAAUUUCAAUAUUUUAUUUUAUUUUUAAAAAAAAAAAACAAAAACAACAACUAAAACAUACGGAGUAAACAUUAGAAGAUCUAAAGUCAUUGUCUUCUCCAACUUCAACUCCCUCCUUCAACCUUCGCAUCUGAGAAAUCACUAAAACCAAAUUGCAUGAAUUCACCCAUUCAAGUAUCAAAGUAUAUUUUCGAUCUCCAAGCUUUUAAUUUCAAAACAAACAAAAACCCAACAUCAUAUCUUUUCGGCUACCGUCUCCAAAAAGACACCUUCCUUCGGAUUUCGAUUUCCUGUCUUUUAUCCUCCAUUCCUUUCAAAAACUGCUCCCAUCUUCUUAAAUUCCUGCUCUCAUCAAAUUCCUCUCCCAUUCAUUUAUUUCUCUUUAUAGGAUCUCCCAUCUUCUUAAAUUCCUCAAAUUUUCAAAUUUCGUCCUCGCUCAUACGCGAGUUUGUUACCAUUGAAGAACAAGGACUAAAUGGGAAGUACUGCUUCAGAAGAACACCAAUCAAGUAAAGAGAAGGCCAAUUCAUCCCCGAAGCAAUAAUUCACAAAAUCUGUUAAAGUGAAGAUUCACUUUACACUAAAAAAUUAAGAGUUGCCUAGAAAUGUAUAUUACACCUAUUUUACGCCGAACCACUAUGUACAACAUAUGCAAAUUUUUAAUUCUUGCGUAAUUUUGUAAAGCAUUUGUUAUGAGUAUUUUUUUUUUCUUCAUACUAUUGUUUGAAAUUGUUACUCCAUAUUAAAUAAUAUAUCUUUUAUUGUUU